UACGAAGGGGGCUAGCGUUGUUCGGAAUUACUGGGCGUAAAGCGCACGUAGGCGGAUUGUUAAGUUAGGGGGUGAAAUCCCAGGGCUCAACCCUGGAACUGCCUUUAAUACUGGCAAUCUCGAGUCCGAGAGAGGUGAGUGGAAUUCCGAGUGUAGAGGUGAAAUUCGUAGAUAUUCGGAGGAACACCAGUGGCGAAGGCGGCUCACUGGCUCGGUACUGACGCUGAGGUGCGAAAGCGUGGGGAGCAAACAGG
rnacentral:rRNA from 1 species